rnacentral:rRNA from 1 species
GAUGAACGCUAGCUACAGGCUUAACACAUGCAAGUCGAGGGGAAACGGCAUUAAGUGCUUGCACUUUUUGGACGUCGACCGGCGCACGGGUGAGUGACGCGUAUCCAACCUUCCCAUGACUAAGGGAUAACCUGCCGAAAGGCAGACUAAUACCUUAUGGUCUUCACUGACGGCAUCAGAUGUGAAGUAAAGAUUUAUCGGUUAUGGAUGGGGAUGCGUCUGAUUAGCUUGUUGGCGGGGUAACGGCCCACCAAGGCAACGAUCAGUAGGGGUUCUGAGAGGAAGGUCCCCCACAUUGGAACUGAGACACGGUCCAAACUCCUACGGGAGGCAGCAGUGAGGAAUAUUGGUCAAUGGGCGAGAGCCUGAACCAGCCAAGUAGCGUGCAGGAUGACGGCCCUAUGGGUUGUAAACUGCUUUUGUAUGGGGAUAAAGUCAAUCACGUGUGAUUGUUUGCAGGUACCAUACGAAUAAGGACCGGCUAAUUCCGUGCCAGCAGCCGCGGUAAUACGGAAGGUCCGGGCGUUAUCCGGAUUUAUUGGGUUUAAAGGGAGCGUAGGCUGGAGAUUAAGUGUGUUGUGAAAUGUAGACGCUCAACGUCUGACUUGCAGCGCAUACUGGUUUCCUUGAGUACGCACAACGUUGGCGGAAUUCGUCGUGUAGCGGUGAAAUGCUUAGAUAUGACGAAGAACUCCGAUUGCGAAGGCAGCUGACGGGAGCGCAACUGACGCUGAAGCUCGAAGGUGCGGGUAUCGAACAGG